GUUUCCUUCCUAACGAAGGCAGCUCCGCAUUGGGUCGCACGCGUCUUCCUCUCCCCCACACGUCUCCGGCCACAGCCGCCUCCUCCUCUCCCCGCUUGUCUUUCCCUCUAGCUCAAGAAGCUCCACGGGACACCACUCUUCCUCUUCUCCGUAUUGAUGCUGAGCAAGAAGAUGGGGCGGAUUUGGGCGACGGCUCCAGUGCCACCUCCCUGCAACGAGGGAUCUCACCGGCGUGGGGGCGGGAGUGGAUGCCAGUGAGGGUGGCGGAUCGGCGUUGCUCGCUCCCCACCGGCCUUCUUCGUCUCCCGACAACAUAUGGCUCCAACCCUUCCUCUGCUGUGUGGUGUCGUGGGAGCAAGAAACAAGAGCAGGCAUGGUUUUUAUCUACAUCCAGUGUUCACACUGCCAGAUCGACGGAUCUAACUCUGGUCGGCAAGGAGGGGCACCGCCGCGGCGGCGAGGAAGCGGCCGGGGGCAAGGCCGAGGGCGGCAAAGCCAACCUGAGUAAGGUGCUGCCGGCUACCUUAUAGAAAAUCACAGGCUUCUAGCAGCGUCAGGUGUUGAUUAUCAACACUUGUUAGAUGUUGUCUGAUUGGCACAAGGGGUCCCCUAUGGAAACACCAAAGUCUACCCAUACUAGUGAUGAUUUCACACACAAGGCAGAAUCAGAUAUGACACAUGUUGCACUGGCUUUUGAAGUGCCAGGAAGCUGGCUUGAAUCAUGACUGUCAUGCAGGUACAUCUAAGGGUUGGGUAUUCGAUAGUAAUUAAUGAUAAGUUAGUAUACAAAAUAAAAGAAAAUAAAUUACUUACUGCAGAGCCAUUCAGUUAUAUAUGCCAACUCUGAAGGAUAAUUCCUAAAAAAAUUAGGCGUUCUUUGUUUCCUCACAAUUUUUUUCAGAAAUGUCGCAUGGUUAUUUGCUAUUGAACUUCCUCUCUGACUGUUGGAUUAUCAGCCCUUUUUUGAUGGAUAGGUGCUACUGACCAGCUACCAUGGAUGGAAGAAACCUCAUCAAAAACUAAUACAUAUGUUACUGAUUCCGAGCCUUCAAAGUUUUCUUUUGCAGUAGCAUUUAUUUUGCACGGUUCAUCUUCCAUGCAAAGAGAAGUCCUAGAACUUUUAGGUGCUGGUAUGGCAGUUGCAGCCGUUUGGGAAUUGCUCCUAGCUGUAAAUUUUCUAUUAUGAUUAACCUGAGAGCAAUCCUGACUAACAUCAGCAUCCUCAGUGUUACCAUAGUCCUUGCAAUGAACAGAGAGAUAUUCAUGGAUGGAGCUGGUAAGGCCACUCAUUUCCAUGGCAGCUAGGAACAAGAAACAGAAGUAUGAGAAAGUCAGUGAAAGGAAAAUUGUUGUUCUUUUCUAUAUCCUGCAUUCGCCACCAUUGGAACAAUGUGUUAUUAAUUGUAUUCUCUUAGCUAUAGGCUCUCUGUCGUGGAUAUCCUACUGAAUUUGCAUCUUAUUUCCAUUACUGCCGCUCACUACGCUUUGGACUACCAGUAUCUCAAGAAAUUGUCUACAGACUUUUUUAUUGGACAUGGCGAGUUUUCCUUUUGCAUGUCGUGAACUUAUAAUCGUCCAUUUAAUUUAGUGGUUAAUGAUUAAUCAAUAUUUAGACACCUAAAUGCUGCAAAUGUUGCACACAUGAAAAUUUAUGUCCUACUGUUUGCUCUUAUCCAUUUAUUUUAGGCCCUGGCAGCAGGACGAGGCUCUAGGAUGGUUCCCAUGGAAAACAGACAGUCAGAUUCACAGUGAAGAUGUGUUGCAUGCCCACAACUGAAUACUCACAGUGAAGAUGUGUCACUCAUUGAGAAGCCGAACGGUACCACCAAAAUAUAAAGUGAAGAGACCCACUUAUCCAGAACAAGGUAGAUCAUCAUGCUGUCAUACCAUACAUCAAAUGGUAUGCCGCAAAUACAAUCGCCAAUCUUAGAAAACUCAACGAACGUAAAAAUCUUACUAGAGGCAACUGGAUAUAGGAAACAAAGUGAACUACCAGUUUUCUGUUGAACAAUCACUACUCUGGUUUUAUUGUGACGUGUACCUAAAUUUAUUCUUAGAGAAAACUUGACAUGCAGACUGCAUGUUCUUAUGUAUUGUUUCAGUAACAAUGAUUGCAUAGUAAUUCAGUUAUAACUAUGUAACAGAAGAUGGCAGGAACAAUGGUACAAAUUCAAGUAUGUACAUGCCAAAGUUGAUAGGUUUAACUCUAGGCAUUGCAUUACUAUGUCAUGUUGUACUAUUCUUUAAAGAAUUUGUAGGGGGUACUAGAAAAUAUGACUCGAUGAGGGAUGCAUUGAUUUAAAAAAACGGCCUGAAAGUAUUGAGUUUAGUAAAAUAUUGUAUAGCCUUCUCCUAGAAGUUUGAUACACUUUUCAAGAAAACAAACUUUUUUUAUCAUUAAUCUAUAACUUUUCUCAUAUUUGAACAGCAGUGUUAUUUGAGUUUGGUUACAAAAAGUGGCAUGUUAAAAACUUAAAAUAGGUGGCUUGAUGCAACUUUUGCAAAGUUUGUCGAAAGAAACGCAAUGACGGUGCAUUUCAUUCUCAUAUGUGUUCUUUUUACAGUCCAAUGCAUCCUUUGGAAUGGGACUUGAGCAGGCAUGGUUUCCCUCUACAUCCAGCGUCCACAUGGGCAAAUCGACAGAUCUCACUAUGGUGGUGUAGCAUAAAGCUCCCCAAGCAAUUCAAUUGGAUAUUUCUAGGGAUCAAUUCCGGGAAAUCACAUAGGUACCCUCAGUUUAUCUCAUUUUGCGGUUAUUUGAAUGACUAUGUAUUGUUGUAUUGUUGUGCUCCGCGGGUUUGGCGUUGGCCGCCAACAACGACGAGGCUGGCGGCUCGGGCGCGGGCGUCGUCAACCUUGAUCGGUGUCCUGUUUUUUCUUUGGUUUUUAGUUUUUGUUAUGAUCAGUGUCCUGUUUUUUCUUUUAUAAAUUGCAAUGAACGACCGAAGCUCGACGAAGAUGUCCUAAUCUCAUUGUAUUUGAGUGUCAUUUAUUUAACUCUUCCAAAAUUUAUAGUGCGGCUUCUUGUAAC
rnacentral:rRNA from 1 species